GUGCUCUUUACGUCAGCCCACCCCCAAACCUCUGCCACUCCAACCUGAGCUCCAUGGGUUGAUAAAUCUCAAACAACUUCAAAUGGAAAAUUAAAUGGAAAGCCUCUUCCUCCCUUCUCCAGGCCCUGUGUAAUCCGGAACAUGAAUCUUAACCAGCCUGUUUUACAAGCAGCUGCAGGGCCUCCCAAAGCAGGAAGCCAAGAUAUCUUGCCUUCAUCGGUGCCCAAUGGGAUCACUGUGUUCUUGAAUAUUUUACUCUGUGGAACAGUUAAGAUGCCCAAAGGCUACACCUUAUAAAAACAGACAUGUUUGUCACUGCCCACCCCCCAGCAAUCACAGAACCACAACUGAGUCACAGAUCCCUGCUCCUUGAAGAGGCAACGGAACCUGCGUACCCUGUACUGAAUUCAGGAGGAAGCUCGUCCCUCCUCUGGCCCUGCCACGCCCACCUCUUCACAGAGAGCUGUGGGUAAGUCUGCCUGGAGAGGAAAUGCUUGUUUUUCCUUCUCCUCCCUACCACACCUCCAAUGUGUCCCUUGGCAACAGGUUCUAAUUCUGCAGGUCACUGAAGGAGAGAGAACAGAGAAACACUGUCACCAGCACAGGGUUUCCCUCUCGGCCACCUAUGGUCCUCGCUCCCUGCAGGAGAUCAGGUGACCGGGCACGAAGCACAGUCGCAUGAAGCAGGGGGUCUUUGCUGAAAGAGGGACUCAGGAACCUCUUCCCGGUUCCUCCCACUUUCAUCUCAAUCGUUGCCAUUCUUCCUGUUCAGCCGAGUUAAGGGAACAUGUUGACUGAGUCAAGGAAGGAAGGACAGCCUCAAUGACAUGAAAUGGGUCAUUUAACUUUAACGACAAGACACAACUUAAAAUACAGAUGACAUGAAAAGACUGGACAAUGCCAACUUGGAAUGGGAACCCCACAUAGCUUCCUUAGAAACCAACUAAACCACUGCCUCCUGCAAUGCAACUUGGUACCUAGAUCCAUACCUUCAUGAACAAUUUUCCCUGGAUGUGGAAAUCUACAGGUAAUAGGUAACAG